rnacentral:rRNA from 1 species
CCUACGGGUGGCAGCAGUGGGGAAUAUUGGACAAUGGGGGGAACCCUGAUCCAGCCAUGCCGCGUGUGUGAAGAAGGCCCUCGGGUUGUAAAGCACUUUCAGUGAGGAAGAACGCCUGGUGGUUAAUACCCAUCAGGAAAGACAUCACUCACAGAAGAAGCACCGGCUAACUCCGUGCCAGCAGCCGCGGUAAUACGGAGGGUGCGAGCGUUAAUCGGAAUUACUGGGCGUAAAGCGCGCGUAGGUGGCUUGAUAGGCCGGUUGUGAAAGCCCCGGGCUCAACCUGGGAACGGCAUCCGGAACUGUCAAGCUAGAGUGCAGGAGAGGAAGGUAGAAUUCCCGGUGUAGCGGUGAAAUGCGUAGAGAUCGGGAGGAAUACCAGUGGCGAAGGCGGCCUUCUGGACUGACACUGACACUGAGGUGCGAAAGCGUGGGUAGCAAACAGGAUUAGAUACCCGAGUAGUC